rnacentral:rRNA from 1 species
GACGUAGGGCGCGAGCGUUGUCCGGAUUUAUUGGGCGUAAAGAGCUCGUAGGCGGCUUGUCGCGUCGACUGUGAAAACCCGCGGCUCAACCGUGUGGUCUGCAGUCGAUACGGGCAGGCUAGAGUUCGGUAGGGGAGACUGGAAUUCCUGGUGUAGCGGUGAAAUGCGUAGAUAUCAAGUGGAACACCAGUGGCGAAGGCGAGUCUCUGGACAUUUCCUGACGCUGAGGCACGAAAGCCAGGGGAGCAAACGGG